UUCCUCUCAUCAUUUUUCCUGACGCGCCAAAAGAAGUAUAACUUCAAAAUGUAAUUACAACUACUGCUUCAAAUCUUGCGGUGACAUACCGCGUUUUAUAGAUAAUCUAAAUACUAUUAAAAACCUGUAAAUGAAAACGUGAUUCACGUUCACAAUCUUUGACGCAUUAAAUUUAAUGAAAUAUAAAGACAUGUUUAUGUUAAAUGAUGCAGGUAUAUAGGCGAACACUUUAAGUUUUAUUUCUAUUUAAAAAUGAAGUUUCCACGAUUUUUACUUUGCGUUAUCGCUUUCAUUUUAAAUAUUUUUAUAGCAUCUGCUGGGAUUCCUAACCCAUUGGAAUUAAUUAAUGACGCAAAAGAUGGAUUGGAAGGUGGCGCAGAGGUGGCUGGAUCAGCAAUAGAUGCAUGCGGAAGUAUUGUGCCUUGAUUAAAGAUUAUUUUAUUAAUUACUUACUGGCCAAAUAAAUCCUGAUACCAUUA